CAGUCGCCGCGGUAAUACGUAGGGUGCAAGCGUUAAUCGGAAUUACUGGGCGUAAAGCGUGCGCAGGCGGUUUGUUAAGACAGAUGUGAAAUCCCCGGGCUCAACCUGGGAACUGCAUUUGUGACUGGCAAGCUAGAGUCUGGCAGAGGGGGGUGGAAUUCCGCGUGUAGCAGUGAAAUGCGUAGAUAUGCGGAGGAACACCGAUGGCGAAGGCAGCCCCCUGGGCCAACACUGACGCUCAUGCACGAAAGCGUGGGGAGCAAACAGGAUUAGAUACCCGGGUAGUCCCUGUCUCUUAUAA
rnacentral:rRNA from 1 species